CACAUACAUAGGAAUUGUAAUUAGAAACUACAUAUAUACAUUGGGCAGAAACAUACAUGCUCUGAAUCAUAUAGUUAGAUAGUAGGUUAUGAAAUACGCAGCUUUUAACGGAGAGCAUAUACAAUUCCAAAGUUGUUCUGGUUAUAAAAAAAAAUUAAAUUAUAUUUAGAAUAGUACAUCCAAUGGCCUUGGAAGAAUUUCUAGUCGCAACCGAGUUACGGCUCAAAAUCUAUUUACAAUUUCAUUAAACACGGUAAUGGUUAUCGGCUCUUGCGAUUGCGAGUUUCACCAAUAUGGUAUUCCCACCUUCUUCAUAACAUCUCAGUGUGUUGAACUUUUUGUCAUUAUCUCUAAAACUGUUGAUUCUAAAAAUAAUAAAAAUUUAAAAAAUUUAACUAUGUAUGUAUGUACAUGGGUCAUAAAUUUAUAUCUGUUACAGAAAUAUGUGCAGAAGAAUAAGUGCACUGGGCUCUGAAGCGGAACUUCAAAACCUUCCUUCAGGUUCUACUCAAAUAUUUGUAACUGGUAUUUUAGAUCAUUUAGCUAGAGUUGAGUAUUACAGCGAAAUGGUAAUGCUUCUAUCCAUGGCGGAAUGAACAGCAAGAUCUUACUGAAAAUGACAAUGAGCGAACUUGUAUAAUACAUCGUAUUUUUAUAGUGGCAAACCGAAAAAAUAUGAUGUUUUUGAACAAAGAGAACUGGAAAAUGUCUUAGAAAGUCUCUAUAAUGAGGCAGACUUAGAAGAAGAUGUGCAAAAUGAACUACCUAUUGUGGAAAAUGAGUUUCGGGUGUUAGCACUUCCAGAAAUAAACCCUAAUAUUAAUUUGUUAGAUUUGAACGUCGAAGAUUCGACUAUUAAUGGUACUGAAUCUGAUUGCAAUAUUAGGCUUAUUAAAUUACCCCCUUUAAAUCCGGUUGAGGAGUUAUUUUCUUUAGUUCAGAGUUUAAAUAUUAAGCAAAGAACAUACUUGACUCAUUUGAUGCACCAGCUAAAAACAAGUUGUCCAUUUUAUGAGUUCAUAGGGGGUGGAGCAGGUGUAGGAAAAAGUCGUUUGAUAUCUGCAAUAUAUCAAGCUCUUAACCAUCGCUUCAUUUCCACACCUGGAUCCAACCCAAGUACUAUAAAGGUUCUACUUUGUGCCCCUACCGGCAAAGCAGCAUUCAGAAUAGGGGGACUGACUCUUCAUUCAAUAUUUUCUUUACCUGUCAAUCAAUUGAAUAGAGAUUUGAGGGCUCUGAGCAAUGACAUCGUUAACUCUUUGUAUACCAGACUUGCUGAUUUAAGACUAAUCAUAAUUGAUGAAAUAUCAAUGGUGGGCGCUCGUAUGUUUAGCUCUGUUGAUGCUAGACUUAAACAAUUUUUUAAAACAAACAACCCGUUCGGUGGUAUACCUAUUAUAGUUUUUGGAGAUUUGAAGCAGCUUUCACCUGUUGGAGAUAGGUGGAUAUUUUCAUCUAAUCCUAAUGAUGCUUACAGCACUUUAGUUGGUUCCCCUUUGUGGGAGUUAUUCAAAUAUUUUGAAUUAACAGAAAUUAUGAGGCAAAGCGAGGAUCAGGCUUUUGCUAUAGCGUUAAACCGCAUGGCAUCUGGCACUAUGACAAAUGAUGAUAUAUCAUUAAUUCAAACUCGGGUAGGUAAUUCUGAAGAAGUUCCCGAAGAUGCGAUCCAUUUAUUUUGGUCUAACGAAGAAACGAAUAAUUUAACGACCCCUAAACUCAGAUGCUCGGUAAGAGGAUUAGUAUAGGGGAUCAACAAGAAAAUAGUUUGGACAAGCUAAACCCUUCCAAACUUCAAAAAGGCAAGGAAACCCCCAUAACACCAUAAACCGUUGUUAUGAUUACAAUUAAUAUAAACACAAGUGAUGGGUUGGUUAAUGGAGCAACUGGACAACUUAUGCAAAUUGAUUUCCAUUGUUAUUUUCCAACAAUUCUGUGGAACCUUCUUGAAACCUUCUAUUGGUUUGAUAGCAUGAUCAGAAAAGCCUCAUCCUCUAGAAAGUUCUUCGACCUCAAUUGAACAAGUUAUGAGAUCUUUUCAAUAUAAAGGAAAUGAACUAAUUACAAUUGAAAGCAAUUCUUUUUCAGUUGUUCCAACAAAAGUCAAGGUGCCACAUAAAACAAAGUUGUCGUUCAUACUCAACCAAGAACGCCCUAAACCUAUAUUGAAGCUUGUUGUAGAGCUCCUGUAUCAGAGUUAAGUUUUUUGAAUCGAAUCCAGUUUUUUAAGAAUAAUGGAAUUGAA